rnacentral:misc_RNA from 1 species
UUGUGACCCUCUCAGUGUGGG